CCAAGUUCUGCAUUUAUUUUUCUUUUUCUUUUUCUUUUUUUUCCUUUUUGAAGGAUAAAUGAUGUUAUGACACCAAAAUUUUUCACUUGCUUGAAAAUGUAAAUAUCAUGAUAAGUUAAUAAACUGUUGUUAGAGUGCAAGUAGUAUUAUUUUGGAAAAAUUGAUGUUUUUUUCUUUCAAUUUUCCAUUUUAUGGCCCAUUAUCAGGUCCACCAUUUUUAUCAUCAUCCCCAUUGAUUUCGUGAUCAGGUGGGCCACAAAGUACAAGAUAAGUUUUAGGCAUGGAUGAAUGGGAGCUAUAGAUCGAUGGAUUUUAUUUAUUUAUUUAUUUAUUUUUGAAACUAUUCAAUUUAUUAUUGUAAAUAUUAUUCGCGGCAGCUCGAUGCAUGUGAAAGGGCCACAUAGGCAUGUAUUUUUUUAUACGAAAACAAUCACUAGGUACAAUCUACUUCCUAAGAGGAAUGUGAAAUCAGGUGGGCCUUGCCCAAAAGGGUCAAUGAUAAGGUCCAUCAUUUUAUGGAAUUAGGAGCAAGUACAUGUAGGUUAA